rnacentral:lncRNA from 1 species
GAUGUUUGUAUAUAUUCGAUGUGUGUAUACUGAUAUGUGUGUAUGUGUAAAGUGCAUAACUGUAUCUAUACAAUGCACUAAUAUAUAUAUUUCUAUAUAUAUUGAUGUAUCAGUUCAUACAGUUAUUAACGUAUAUCUACAUUAAUUUAUAUACUACACACACACUCACUCACACUUACACUCACACUCACCACUCACACUCAUACACACACAGACACAUGCACACUCACACUCAACACACACACUCACACUUACACACACUCACACUCACACUCACACUCAUACACACUCACACUCACAUAUAUAUAUACUACAGACAUACACACACUCACACUCACACACACUCACACUCAUACUCACAGAUAUAUAUACUAUACGUGUUUAUGUGUUGUGUAUGGAUUGAUAUGUGAAUAUAUACGAUGUGUUU